rnacentral:rRNA from 1 species
UACGUAGGGAGCAAGCGUUGUCCGGAAUCAUUGGGCGUAAAGCGCGCGUAGGCGGCCCCGUAAGUCCGCUGUGAAAGUCAAAGGCUCAACCUUUGAAAGCCGGUGGAUACUGUGGGGCUAGAGUCCGGAAGAGGCGAGUGGAAUUCCUGGUGUAGCGGUGGAAUGCGCAGAUAUCAGGAGGAACACCAAUAGCGAAGGCAGCUCGCUGGGACGGUACUGACGCUAAGGCGCGAAAGCGUGGGGAGCGAGCAGG